UACGAAGGGGCUAGCGUUGCUCGGAAUCACUGGGCGUAAAGGGUGCGUAGGCGGGUCUUUAAGUCAGGGGUGAAAUCCUGGAGCUCAACUCCAGAACUGCCUUUGAUACUGAGGAUCUUGAGUUCGGGAGAGGUGAGUGGAACUGCGAGUGUAGAGGUGAAAUUCGUAGAUAUUCGCAAGAACACCAGUGGCGAAGGCGGCUCACUGGCCCGAGUACUGACGCUGAGGCACGAAAGCGUGGGAGCAACAGGAUAGAA
rnacentral:rRNA from 1 species